GAUGAAGAACGUAGCAAAAUGCGAUAAGUAAUGUGAAUUGCAGAAUUCAGUGAAUCAUCGAGUCUUUGAACGCACAUUGCGCCCCCUGGUAUUCCGGGGGGCAUGCCUGUCCGAGCGUCAUUGCUGCCCUCAAGCACGGCUUGUGUGUUGGGCCUCCGUCCUCCUCCCGGGGGACGGGCCCGAAAGGCAGCGGCGGCACCGCGUCCGGUCCUCGAGCGUAUGGGGCUUCGUCACCCGCUCUUGUAGGCCCGGCCGGCGCUUGCCGAAACAUCAAUCUUUUUUCCAGGUUGACCUCGGAUCAGGUAGGGAUACCCGCUGAACUUAAGCAUAUCAAUAAGCGGAGGA
rnacentral:misc_RNA from 1 species